rnacentral:rRNA from 1 species
GAUGAACGCUGGCGGCGUGCCUAACACAUGCAAGUCGAACGAGGUAAAUAAGAUGAAGUUUUCGAAUGGAUUCUUAUUUACCGAGUGGCGGACGGGUGAGUAACGCGUGGGUAACCUGCCUCAUACAGGGGGAUAACGAUUGGAAACGAUUGCUAAUACCGCAUAAGCGCACAGUACCACAUGGUACGGUGUGAAAAACUCCGGUGGUAUGAGAUGGACCCGCGUCUGAUUAGCUAGUUGGUGAGGUAACGGCCCACCAAGGCAACGAUCAGUAGCCGACCUGAGAGGGUGACCGGCCACGAUUGGGACUGAGACACGGCCCAGACUCCUACGGGAGGCAGCAGUGGGGAAUUUGGACAAUGGGGGGCAACCCUGAUCCAGCCAUGCCGCGUGCAGGAU